CCCAGCCAGGUGCCCCACCCCUGUUGGUCCAGGAGAUCUGAAGAGGGCAAAGUGGGGAAGGCCGUUCACGUGGUCAGAGAGAAACUGUCCUCAUUCCAGGUUUCAGAGAAGCAAACUGGAAUUACCUAAAACACCCUAAGGGCCAGGCAGACGGAAGCCAGUUGAGAGCAGCCCAGGACUGCCGACAGCUAACCGGUGGCUGGAAGGAGGAGGGUGCAGGCGAGCCCUUGUCUGGGCAGGGAGAGCUGCAGUCACUGACGCAGGGGACAGGAGGCUCGAGAGCCAGGAAGUCCACAGGAGUCAGGCAGGUGAGCUGCCCCAGGGUUGGGUAUGCUCCCGAAAGUCCCUGUGUUGGAAGCUCAAGCCCCAUUGCAAGUGUUGAGGGUGGAUCACUAAGAGGCGACUGAGUCAUGAGGGCAGAACAUCCGCAAGUGGAUUAGUGUUGUUUUCAUGGGAUGAUGCCUCGAGAAGCCCCGCCAGACGUGAGCCCCUCACCUCGGACCUCCCGUUGUCCAGAGCUGUGAGGGUUUUCUGCAGUGGCAGCAACUAAAACGAGAUAUGGAGUAGACUGGACGUAAGCAACACACUGUGGGUGCCACCACCUCCCAUCACCCCAGAUGGGACCAUUUACUUCCAGGAAACCAAGCUCAGGGCUCCUGGUGAUUCUGCACUGUGUCAGUCUGCUAAAGGCGGUCUGCGGGGAGUGUGACAGAGCUCUGAACAGAAGCCCCUCUGUGGCCCACACUCUGUACCCUUGUGGCAU